rnacentral:rRNA from 1 species
CACGUAGGGCGCAAGCGUUGUCCGGAAUUAUUGGGCGUAAAGAGCUCGUAGGCGGUCUGUUGCGUCCGCUGUGAAAACUCGGGGCUUAACCCCGAGCCUGCAGUGGAUACGGGCAGACUAGAGGUAGGUAGGGGAGAAUGGAAUUCCCGGUGUAGCGGUGAAAUGCGCAGAUAUCGGGAGGAACGCCGGUGGCGAAGGCGGUUCUCUGGGCCUUACCUGACGCUGAGGCAUGAAAGCGUGGGGAGCAAACAGG